rnacentral:rRNA from 1 species
GGUUGCGAUCAUACCAGCACUAAUGCACCGGAUCCCAUCAGAACUCCGCAGUUAAGCGUGCUUAGGCGAGAGUAGUACUAGGAUGGGUGACCCCCUGGUAAGUCCUCGUGUUGCAACCCC